rnacentral:lncRNA from 1 species
UUUUCCUUUUCCCAGGAAGGAUUUUCCUUUUCCCAGGAGGAAUUUCCCUUUUCCCAGGAGGAAUUUCCCUUUUCCCAGGAUGGAUUUUCCUUUUCCCAGCCUGAGGAGGAGCGAAUUCCCAACAGAUCCUGGCUGAUCAUUUUUUUUCCCAUCCCUCGGGAUCUCCCCCUCUCCCAGGAUGCCCAAACCCCUUCCCAACAUCCCCGUGCCAGUCCCUACUCCAAGGUUAUUCCAAGGUUACUCCAAGGUUACUCCAAGGAGGAGCUCAGCUUCUCCCAGGGCAGAACUAUCCAAGGAGAAUCCCUAAGAGGAGGAGGAUGGAGCAGGAAUUCCAGAGGCUGCACCAAAAGCUGGAAUCACCCACAUUAUCCCACAUUUUGGCUCUUGAGCAUUAAAUUCCCCAAAUUCCCUCUCCAGGGGAAUUUUCCAGGCUCUGGGAGUGACUCUCCAGCUCCUCAAGGAAAAAAUUCAGCUCUGAUUGCUCCAAUCCCAGCAAAUCCAGGAGAAUCCAGCGGGAUUUUCCCGUUUUAAGGCACAGGGAGAUUUUGGUGUAGGGAUUUAUUCAGGUUAAGACACACAAAAAAGGCAGCAAAAAGCUCAUUUCACACCGGGGUCGCUCCCACAAGGCACACGUGGCACCCCCGAGGGGGGAUCCUGCAUUUUCCUGCUCCAAAAAUUGUGGGAAAAGGAUCAGAUCUGCUCAGGGUCACCCCAAAAACCAGCCCUGGGUGAGGGGACAGCUCCAGGGUCACAUCCCAGCCCCGGGGACAUCCCGGGGAGGGGGGGCUGGAACUGCAUCCCAAAAAUCCUCCUUGGCUGAUGAAGGAGGGGGUUUGGUUUGGGAAGGAUGGAAUUUAUCCCUGGAGUCAAAUGGGAAAUGGACCCUGGAAUUUGAACAUCCACAAUUCCCAAAAUGGAAUUUGGUUUGGGAAGGAUGGAAUUUAUCCCUGGAUUCAAAUGGGAAAUGGACCCUGGAAUUUGAACAUCCACAAUUCCCAAAAUCCCUCCAAAUUCCCAAAAUGGAAUUUGGUUUGGGAAGGAUGGAAUUUAUCCCUGGGUUCAAAUGGAAAAUGGACCCUGGAAUUUGAACAUCCACGAUCCCAACAAUCCCUCCUGAUCAUCCAAGGGAGCAGCUGA